GAAACACUAGCUGACGUACGUCCUGACUCAUUAUACAACAAAGAAAAAUUUUUGGCCACUGGAUACAGAUACCAAAAAAGUGUAAAAUAUCGCUUUUUCAAGCCACAUCUAAACAUAGAUUAUUUUUGGAAGAGAUCGUCUCUGAGGAAAGAACAACUAGAAAUUGGUAAAGUUUUUGAGGAUUUUAUAAAGCAGGUAAUCGCUGUGAAACAAAGCCAACCAGAAAAUGAAAAUAGAAAAAAGCAAUUUUUAAACUAUCUACUGGAAAUGAACAAACAAAAUAAUUUAACCACAGAUGGUUUAUUAGAAGAAGGUGCCUUAAUGUUACUGGCAGCCAAUGAUUCAACAACACCUGCAGUAGGCUCAGCUUUAGUCUUAUUAGGGAUGCAUCCCGAAAUUCAGGAAAAAGUAUAUCAAGAAAUAUCAUUACUCACUGAUGAUACCCAGGACCUUACACUGGAAUGUGUCAAUAAAAUGAACUACUUAGAACGCGUGAU